rnacentral:rRNA from 1 species
AUAGCGUAUAUUUAAGUUGUUGCAGUUAAAAAGCUCGUAGUUGGAUUUCGGGGGGGUCUUAGCGGUCCGGUUCGCUGUGUACUGCUAGGGCCCUCCUUUCUGCCGGGGACAGGCUCUUGGGCUUCACUGUCUGGGACCUGGAGUCGGCGAGGUUACUUUGAGUAAAUUAGAGUGUUCAAAGCAAGCCUACGCUCUGAAUACAUUAGCAUGGAAUAACACGAUAGGACUCUGGCCUAUCUUGUUGGUCUGUAGGACCGGAGUAAUGAUUAAGAGGGACAUUCGGGGGCAUUCGUAUUUCAUUGUCAGAGGUGAAAUUCUUGGAUUUAUGAAAGACGAACUUCUG